ACGGCAGCAUAGGUGCUUGCACCUGAUGGCGAGUGGCGAACGGGUGAGUAAUGCAUCGGAACGUGCCCAGUCGUGGGGGAUAACGCAGCGAAAGCUGUGCUAAUACCGCAUACGAUCUAUGGAUGAAAGCGGGGGACCUUCGGGCCUCGCGCGAUUGGAGCGGCCGAUGUUAGAUUAGGUAGUUGGUGAGGUAAAGGCUCACCAAGCCUACGAUCUAUAGCUGGUCUGAGAGGACGACCAGCCACACUGGAACUGAGACACGGUCCAGACUCCUACGGGAGGCAGCAGUGGGGAAUUUUGGACAAUGGGCGAAAGCCUGAUCCAGCAAUACCGCGUGCAGGAAGAAGGCCUUCGGGUUGUAAACUGCUUUUGUACGGAACGAAACGGUCUGGAUUAAUACUCUGGGCUAAUGACGGUACCGUAAGAAUAAGCACCGGCUAACUACGUGCCAGCAGCCGCGGUAAUACGUAGGGUGCAAGCGUUAAUCGGAAUUACUGGGCGUAAAGCGUGCGCAGGCGGUUUUGUAAGACAGGCGUGAAAUCCCCGGGCUCAACCUGGGAAUUGCGCUUGUGACUGCAAGGCUAGAGUACGGUAGAGGGGGGUAGAAUUCCGCGUGUAGCAGUGAAAUGCGUAGAUAUGCGGAGGAACACCGAUGGCGAAGGCAGCCCUCUGGACCUGUACUGACGCUCAUGCACGAAAGCGUGGGGAGCAAACAGGAUUAGAUACCCUGGUAGUCCACGCCCUAAACGAUGUCAACUGGUUGUUGGGGAAUUACUUUCUCAGUAACGAAGCUAACGCGUGAAGUUGACCGCCUUGGG
rnacentral:rRNA from 1 species